rnacentral:lncRNA from 1 species
GUAGUUAGGUCUGUGCACAUACCUUCAAUUACAUUCUUAGGAUAACUGUCUAAAAGUAGAAUUACUGGAUCAGUAGUUCUGCAUAUUUUAAGGCUUUUCCCCCCACAUUCCCAGACUAUGCUCCCAAGGGAUCAUGCUAGCUAUUGGAAAGCACGUGUUUCUCUGACUCUUCUACAACCUAGGGUAUUCUAAUUUUUGUGUGCACUACUUUUAGAUGUUGAAGUAGACAUUAUUUUUGUUUUUAAAAACAGUAACCAAGGCUGAAGGAGGCUACAGAUGAUGCCGGGUGGAUAGGAGGGCCUGAAAACUCCCAGGACAGCUCAUCAAUCUCAUACACUUUCAGUUACUUCUUCUCCCAGGGAUACAAUCACUAGAAGGCCAUGUUUCUUCCUGCAGGUUUCAGUUUCCCAGAGUUAGCCCUGACCCGGAAGAAGAUGAUCCUCCUCUGAUGUAUGAUCUGGUCAGUUGUUACCUAAUGCUAGGUCACAAUGCCUAUGUCAUUCACCUGAUGUCAUCUC